rnacentral:rRNA from 1 species
UGAGGAAUAUUGGGCAAUGCCCGCAAGGGUGACCCAGCAACGCCGCGUGGAGGAUGAAUGUCGUAAGAUUGUAAACUCCUGUUAGAGGGGAAGAAUAGUACCGGUUGGACCGGUAUAUGACUGUACCCUCAGAGAAAGCCCCGGCUAACUACGUGCCAGCAGCCGCGGUAAUACGUAGGGGGCAAGCGUUGUCCGGAUUUACUGGGUGUAAAGGGCGCGCAGGCGGGAUAAAAAGUCAGUGGUGAAAUCCGACAGCUUAACUGUAGAACUGCCUUUGAUACUUUUAUUCUUGAGUUCGGGAGAGAGAGACGGAAUUCCAGGUGUAGUGGUGAAAUACGUAGAUAUCUGGAAGAACACCAGUUGCGAAGGCGGUCUCUUGGUCCGACACUGACGCUGAGGCGCGAAAGCGUGGGGAGCAAACA